CCACGGGAGGCAGCAGGCGAGAAAACUUUGCAAUGUGCGAAAGCACGACAAGGUUAAUCCGAGUGGUUUGUGCUAAACGAACCUUUUGACAGUCCUAGAAACACUGUUGAAUAAGGGGUGGGCAAGUUCUGGUGUCAGCCGCCGCGGUAAAACCAGCACCUCAAGUGGUCAGGAUGAUUAUUGGGCCUAAAGCAUCCGUAGCCGGCUCUGUAAGUUUUCGGUUAAAUCUGUACGCUCAACGUACAGGCUGCCGGGAAUACUGCAGAGCUAGGGAGUGGGAGAGGUAGACGGUACUCGGUAGGAAGGGGUAAGAUCCUUUGAUCUAUUGAUGACCACCUGUGGCGAAGGCGGUCUACCAGAACACGUCCGACGGUGAGGGAUGAAAGCUGGGGGAGCAAACCGGAUUAGAUACCCCGGUAGUC
rnacentral:rRNA from 1 species